GCAUUACUCCUCAAAUUUCAUUAAUGCAACACAUGGCAUUUGCUAAUGUACCUCACCUGCUCCUUUGAAUUCAGCCAGGAAAUCUACCCUGCUCUUCUCUCAGCAGCUUUUGCCUCUGCUGCAGAGGCUGUGUCUGCUCAGAAGCAGUUGCUGAGCUGCCAUAAAUUAGAGUUUCUUCUUUUUCCAGUAAGAAAGUAA
rnacentral:lncRNA from 1 species